UACGGGCAGCAGUGGGGAAUAUUGCACAAUGGGCGAAAGCCUGAUGCAGCUAUGCCGCGUGUAUGAAGAAGGCCUUAGGGUUGUAAAGUACUUUCAUCGGGGAGGAAAAAACAAAACUAAUAAUUUUAUUUCUUGACGUUACCCGAAAAAGAAGCACCGGCUAACUCCGUGCCAGCAGCCGCGGUAAUACGGAGGGUGCUAGCGUUAAUCAGAAUUACUGGGCGUAAAGAGCACGUAGGUGGUUUUUUUAAGUCAGAUGUGAAAUCCCUGGGCUUAACCUGGAACUGCAUUUUGAAACUGAAAUACUAGAGUAUCGUAGAGGGAGGUAGAAUUCUAGGUGUAGCGGUGAAAUGCGUAGAUAUCUGGAGGAAUACCUGUGGCGAAAGCGGCCUCCUAAACGAAUACUGACACUGAGGGUGCGAAAAGCGUGGGGAGCGAAACAGGGAUUAGAUACC
rnacentral:rRNA from 1 species